GCCCCACAGCCUCCCCCCUGGGCAGCCUGAGCCCAGGGCUCCCUCCCGCCCCUCCGGCGCCGAGCGCAAGGGGGCGCAGGUGCGGCAAGGCCCCGCCCAGAGCUGGCAGCCAGAGCCAAUGGGAGGCGUGGGCAGAGCGGCCCCGCCCCCAAGGGCGCUGUGGGCUCCGGCCCCAGGGGCGUGAGCGCCAUUUUGGCUGGUGCUGGGCAGCGUCGUGGGAGCGCUGGAGCAGAGGCUGUGGUGUGCGCGGGCAGCGCUGCGGGACUCUGAGAGAGGAGCACACCUGGCACCUGGUGACCCCCGACGUGAUUUCCCAGGACGAGGAAGAGUCUGGCAGCGGAUGGCAGGAGGAAGCAGGGCUCUGGCCUGCUGGUGAAGGGAGCCAGGCCUACAUUAGAGUGUAUCUUCUGUGGAGAAGCAGUGCUUCGUUCUUAAAGGGACAGAGUGCAUUUGUGAGAGCCUUUUGCAGACUAAAAUCCUGAUGAUGUUUUUAGCUUCUGAUUGUAAUAGAUUUUAGAGCCUACUGGAUAAGAUCCAGGAGGGAUCAAAGAGCAGGGCCUGGAGCAGAAACCUGCCUGCCGACAGCCCAGGGCUGGCAAACAAGGGGCUGGGAUCACUUUGUAAGGACCAGAGCGUCUCCGCUCCCCCAGCACCAGCACCUAGGAUCUCAGCACAGGCAUUGGAGAUCUGCCCCCUCUGUGUGGAAAGAAGUGAGGGUUUGAGGGCCAACCUGCGUUCUUUGCCUCAGCUGAAUGUUGGUUGUUGGGAGGUGUCAGAAGCUGUAUUGUCCCAGGCAGGAUGUCAAGGUUU